rnacentral:rRNA from 1 species
AGUGAACGCUGGCGGCAGGCCUAAUACAUGCAAGUCGAACGGCAGCACAGCAGAGCUUGCUCUGUGGGUGGCGAGUGGCGGACGGGUGAGGAAUACAUGGGAAUCUGCCCAGUCGUGGGGGAUAACGUAUGGAAACGUACGCUAAUACCGCAUGCGCCCUACGGGGGAAAGCCGGGGACCGCAAGGCCUGGCGCGAUUGGAUGAGCCCAUGUUCGAUUAGCUAGUUGGCGGGGUAAAGGCCCACCAAGGCGACGAUCGAUAGCUGGUCUGAGAGGAUGAUCAGCCACACUGGAACUGAGACACGGUCCAGACUCCUACGGGAGGCAGCAGUAGGGAAUAUUGGACAAUGGGGGCAACCCUGAUCCAGCCAUGCCGCGUGAGUGAAGAAGGCCCUCGGGUUGUAAAGCUCUUUUGUCCGGAAAGAAAAGCAAUCGGUUAAUACCCGGUUGUUCUGACGGUACCGGAAGAAUAAGCACCGGCCAACUUCGUGCCAGC